rnacentral:snoRNA from 1 species
ACUCUAUGAUAAGGGCACUUCCGUAAUAAUUCUUUGUACCUUUCCUAUGCCUCAUACAAGGACUCAUCAUCCAUUGUUGAAAAGUAGUGAUCUCAUUCCUCAAUUU